AGGCUGGUGGGGGCGGUGUUGCUCCGGGCUGCGAUGCCCCUUAGGGUGCGGGCAACCAGAGGCCUCAGUCGUGGGCAGGGAGCAGGGGCGGACCCCGAGAGAUGGCUGAUUGUGGGGGUGGGGACCGUCUGCUCCUCCUAAUGGCUGGGGACCGUGCACGUCUGUGCGGGCCGGACCUGCUCUUCUCGGGAACUUGCGCGGGAGGAGGCCCGGAGCUGCGCCGCUUUACCCUCUGCUCCCCGGUGCCUAAAACGCACACGCAUCAAAGUCACAGGACGAGUUAGGGGAGAAAGGCAGAGGGAGAUUUGAAACACAGAGGAGGUGAUGAGAAGACACAGCAGAAGAUAUCUGAAGACUGGAAAGAAUGCUGCAACCAACAGGAGAAGGAAAAGACAGAAAUGUGUUUUCCAUUUGGAGCAUCCAGAGGGAGCACAACCAUAUCAACACCUUGAUUUUGAUCCAGUGACAUUGAUUUUGGACUUGUGGCCUCCAGAACUUUUAGAGAAUAAAUUUGCAUUGUUUUAAGCCAACAGGUUGUUGGAAAUUUUUUACAGCAGCCACAGGAAGCAAACACAGACUCCUAACUGGUGCUUAGUCCUAGAAUAUCAGUUUCUGCUCUACUUCUGGAUCUCAUAAUUGCAUCUCAAACAUCAACACUGACUUCAUAUUCUUAAUGCACCAAUUCUACCAUUUCUUCAGGCUGCAAACAGAGAAAAACUUAUUUAAGCAUUCCAGAAUUGACCAAAUAGAAGACUCUCCAGAAAAGACUGCAUGGUCUCUGAAGCAGCAUGAUCAGCAUGACUCGCUGCAUCUGGGCUCCACCGUUUGCCACUUCAGACAGGUCCUUAGCCUCUUGGAGGUUCAUUUUCCUUGCUGUAGCCCGGAGUAAGAAUGUUUAGCCUACAAGAUUUAUUUUGAGGCAUCAAUGAAUCACUAUGUGAGCCUCACACAGUGUCUGGCACUGACAUUACAAAAUAUGGUUGAUCUUGCCAUCCUUGUUAUUGUCCUGGUGGGGAUUCCUCUCUGUUGAAGAUACGGAGCCUCUAAAAAUGAGUGGCAGAGGCUCCCAGUUCAGGAUCCUUGUCCAGGUCCUAAAGAUCCUCCACUCUGCUUGUCACUCUGUUCAUUAUGUUUGCAUGGCCACCACGGCCAACACUACUGCGGCCUACCUCAAGUUCUCAUGCCUCACUCUCUGAGCUCAUGAGGACACAAGGAUCCUUUGGCAACACAUUAACUACACUCUGGCCAUCCCUUGACUUCUGAGAGGAUGUUUCCCUCCUGUCAAUCAAAAGCUCUCUUCCCUCCUGGGCAAGAUCCUUGCAUGCACCCAGCACCCUCACACCUGGUGCCCUCGCACCCAGCACCCUCUCACCUGGUGCCCUCACACCCAGCACCCUCUCACGUGGUGCCCUCACACCCAGCACCCUCACACCCAGCACCCUCACACCUGGUGCCCUCGCACCCAGCACCCUCACACGUGGUGCCCUCACACCCAGCACCCUCUCACCUGGUGCCCUCGCACCCAGCACCCUCACACCUGGUGCCCUCGCAACCAGCACCCUCACACCUGGUGCCCUCACACCCAGCACCCUCACACCUGGUGCCCUCACACCCAGCACCCUCACACCCAGCACUCUCACACUUGCACUGUCCUCAUCCCAACUCUGUGGUUCCUCUGGGGAAUCACUGUGGAAUCCCUCAUGGGAGGAUGUUUUCAAAAGAAACAAGAGCCCAAUGAAGGGUAUUUGAGGAUGAGAAGCAGGAAAGAAGUCAGUGGGUGGCUGAGUUGUGUCCAGGUUUUGCCUGGCCAUGGAAAAUCAGGUGAAGGACAUUAAAUAUCUUGCAGUGGCUUCUCCAUUAGGAGCAUGAAAUGAGGAAAGGGGCUGUCCUCACAGGCCAGCCAAGAGGGAUGUCUAUGCCAAACAGAAAGACUGACAGUAAACAAAAUCCAGAAUGACAUGACUGAGGUAUGGUGUGCAGGGCAUGGCCCAGGGAGGAGGGUAGAUAAGUAAGCCUGGGUGCACCUUCAGAGGAAGAAAUAACAGAGGCUGCAGGCGAGAGAGUUACAAGGAAGGAGGAGCAGGAAGACAUGAGAAAAAUUCAGAUAAACUCAACAUCUCCAGCCUGGGGGAAACGUGAGAGGGUGGUAUGAAGAUACACAUGAUGCAUGUUGCUUAGUGAAAGCAGCCAGUCGGAAAAGGCUACGUAGUGAAUGACCCCAACUAUGACAUUCUGAAAAAGGCAAAACUAUGGAGACAGGAUAAAGAUCAGUGGUUGCCAGUGAGGCAGGAGAAUAGGGUCUGGGGGCAGGGAGCCUAAGGCUGAUUCAUGCUGACUUCAUGAACCGAAUCAAAAGGAAAACCCUAAAUUUCCAUGCCCACGUAACAAAAGGAUCAGAGGCUACUCCCUUUGCAACUCCCCCCAACUUUCUGUGUUGCAGAUGAAAAAUGGAAAGUGCCUCGGAUUGGUCCCCUCCUGCAACCAGUCAGACAUCUGCAUAGAGCGUAACUUUGUAACUUCACUUCAGCCUCUGCUUGGUCACCUUCCACAACCAAUCAGACUGGUCAUGGGCCACUACUUCAUAGGGUGUAAACCAAGUGACCAAUGGGAAACAUCUAGAGGGUAUUUAAACCCCAGAAAAUUCUGCGACCAGUGCUUUUGAGCCUUGCUUGAGCCUGCUCCCACUCUGUGAAGUGCAUUUUUGUUUCAAUACAGCUAUGCUUUUGUUGCUUCUUU
rnacentral:antisense_RNA from 1 species